rnacentral:misc_RNA from 1 species
GAUGAAGAACGUAGCGAAAUGCGAUAAGUAAUGUGAAUUGCAGAAUUCAGUGAAUCAUCGAAUCUUUGAACGCACAUUGCGCCCGCCAGCACUCUGGCGGGCAUACCUGUUCGAGCGUCAUUUCAACCAUCAAGCCCCCAGGGGCUUGUGCUGGGGCCCUGCGGCUGCCCGCAGGCCCUGAAAACCAGUGGCGGGCUCGCUAGUCACACCGAGCGCAGUAGCACAUCUCGCUCAGGGCGUGCGGCGGGCUCCUGCCGUGAAACCCCCCACUGUAACCCCAAAGGUUGACCUCGGAUCAGGUAGGAAUACCCGCUGAACUUAAGCAUAUCAAUAAGCGGAGGA